rnacentral:misc_RNA from 1 species
AAGUCGUAACAAGGUUUCCGUAGGUGAACCUGCGGAAGGAUCAUUAUUGAAUAUUCUUGAUGGGUUGUAGCUGGCUCUCCGGAGCAUGUGCACGCCUGUCUUGACUUAAUUCAUCCACCUGUGCACUUUUUGUAGUCUUGGAGGUUGAGAGCGGUCGACUAUCGGAUGGCUGUUAUGGCCUUUUCGGAUGUGAGGAAUUGCUGAGUGCAAAAGCAUACAGCUCUUCUCAAAAUGACUCGCAAUACCUCUCCUUCAAGUACUAUGUAUUCAUAUACCACAUAGUAUGUUGUAGAAUGUGAUCAAUGGGCUUAUGGCCUAUAAUAAUGAAAUACAACUUUCAGCAACGGAUCUCUUGGCUCUC